rnacentral:rRNA from 1 species
ACAUCCAGAGAACUUAGCAGAGAUGCUUUGGUGCCUUCGGGAACUCUGAGACAGGUGCUGCAUGGCUGUCGUCAGCUCGUGUUGUGAAUGUUGGGUUAAGUCCCGCAACGAGCGCAACCCUUAUCCUUUGUUGCCAGCGGUUCGGCCGGGAACUCAAAGGAGACUGCCGGUGAUAAACCGGAGGAAGGUGGGGAUGACGUCAAGUCAUCAUGGCCCUUACGGCCAGGGCUACACACGUGCUACAAUGGCGCAUACAAAGAGAAGCGACCUCGCGAGAGCAAGCGGACCUCAUAAAGUGCGUCGUAGUCCGGAUUGGAGUCUGCAACUCGACUCCAUGAAGUCGGAAUCGCUAGUAAUCGUAGAUCAGAAUGCUACGGUGAAUACGUUCCCGGGCCUUGUACACACCGCCCGUCACACCAUGGGAGUGGGUUGCAAAAGAAGUAGGUAGCUUAACCUUCGGGAGGGCGCUUACCACUUUGUGAUUCAUGACUGGGGUGAAGUCGUAACAAGGUAAGCGUAGCGAG